GGGUGGAAAUUCGCUGCAUGAGGUGAAUGAUACAGCUUUUUUUGUUCCUUCGCCAAUAACAGAUAAUUUUAGCAUUUGCUCAUCGCUCUUUCUUAUGUCUUCUUGUGAUGCUAGCUAUGCCAGUGGCUUUGUAUCGCAUUACGUAUUUCAUAUUGCUAGAGCCUCAAACAUUGAUACUUUAUUCUGACAUUUUUAGUUAAAUAAGAUUCAUAUCUAGUAAUAUGUUUUUGGCCACUGGGAAUGAUGUAUACUCAUGUUCAUUACUUCUGUUAUAAAUGCAGCAACUGAAAGUCAACUAAGUCAGCAACUGUUGAAAGUUAUUCCAGCUAAGAGUUAAGUAGUUAUUAGCUGGAAUUGAUAGAGAAUAUAAGAAAAACAGUUAUAUCAGAAUUGUGGUGUUGACAAUUUGCAAAGUAUAUGCGGAAAAGCUUCCACAACUUUCUCCUUCUCUUCUAUUUCUAGAUUCUCUCUGUUUCUAUCUUGACUGCCUAUUUUUCCUUAACUUUAUUUCUCUUUCUCAGUUACCAAACAUCAUUCUCUACUUAAUUUCUCUUGAGUCAUGAACUUCAAUGAAUGCAGGGUCUCAACAACUUCUUUGAAAGGUCAAAUAGGAAUCCCAAUUUUCUUCCUCUGUCAAUAUUAACGUUGUUAAAUCUUUGGCAAGCCAAAUGGGAACUGUGAUUCUCCCUCAUGUAUGUGGAAACAUUAUUUGUGAGAUCUGAUACUAUUCUCUUUGAUGUGGAAUGGUUUUACAUACGUGUUUGUAUGCAUUUUCUUUUUUCUUCCUGUAAGGUAAACAUUUUAAGCCUUUGAUUUUCAUGAUUCAACUUAUCUUAAAAAUCAGUCCUUUCUUUGAGUGGAUUUGCCGACAAACCAGUAACGUUUACAUUUGACAUACAUUGAUGCUGUGGAAAGUAAUUUCAAUUGUUCAUCUGUGUGCUUUCUUAUAUUCAGAACUCAUAAUAAUUUCAUUUUUCUGAUUGAUUAGGUCUUUCCCACAGUUAACUCAU
rnacentral:misc_RNA from 1 species